CGCGUAGGCGGUUUGCUAAGUCAGAUGUGAAAUCCCCGGGCUUAACCUGGGAACUGCAUUUGAGACUGGUAGGCUAGAAUGUGGUAGAGGUGAGUGGAAUUCCAGGUGUAGCGGUGAAAUGCGUAGAGAUCUGGAGGAACAUCAGUGGCGAAGGCGACUCACUGGGCCAUUAUUGACGCUGAGGUGCGAAAGCGUGGGUAGCAAACA
rnacentral:rRNA from 1 species